GGGCACAUGGUGUAGUUGGUUAUCACGCUCGCUUAGCAUGAAAUUUGAAUUUGCGAGAGGUGUCCGGUUCAAUUCCGGAUGUGUCCA